GAUGAACGCUGGCGGCGUGCCUAAUACAUGCAAGUCGAGCGAACGGACGAGAAGCUUGCUUUUCUGAUGUUAGCGGCGGACGGGUGAGUAACACGUGGAUAACCUACCUAUAAGACUGGGAUAACUUCGGGAAACCGGAGCUAAUACCGGAUAAUAUUUUGAACCGCAUGGUUCAAAAGUGAAAGACGGUCUUGCUGUCACUUAUAGAUGGAUCCGCGCUGCAUUAGCUAGUUGGUAAGGUAACGGCUUACCAAGGCAACGAUGCAUAGCCUACCUGAGAGGGUGAUCGGCCACACUGGAACUGAGACACGGUCCAGACUCCUACGGGAGGCAGCAGUAGGGAAUCUUCCGCCAUGGGCGAAAGCCUGACGGAGCAACGCCGCGUGAGUGAUGAAGGUCUUCGGAGCGUAAAACUCUGUUAUUAGGGAAGAACAUAUGUGUAAGUAACUGUGCACAUCUUGACGGUACCUAAUCAGAAAGCCACGGCUAACUACGUG
rnacentral:rRNA from 1 species